UCCACGCUGUAAACGAUGUCGAUUUGGAGUUUGUUGCCUAGAGUGAUGGGCUCCGAAGCUAACGCGAUAAAUCGACCGCUGGGGAGUACGGCCGCAAGGUUAAAACUCAAAUGAAUUGACGGGGGCCCGCACAAGCGGUGGAGCAUGUGGUUUAAUUCGAUGCAACGCGAAGAACCUUACCUGGUCUUGACAUCCAUAGAAUUCUGCAGAGAUGUGGGAGUGCCUUCGGGAACUAUGAGACAGGUGCUGCAUGGCUGUCGUCAGCUCGUGUUGUGAAAUGUUGGGUUAAGUCCCGCAACGAGCGCAACCCUUAUUCUUUGUUGCCAGCGAUUUGGUCGGGAACUCAAAGGAGACUGCCGUUGAUAAAGCGGAGGAAGGUGGGGACGACGUCAAGUCAUCAUGGCCCUUACGACCAGGGCUACACACGUGCUACAAUGGCGUAUACAAAGGGAAGCGAAGGUGCGAGCUGGAGCGGAUCUCAUAAAGUACGUCUAAGUUCGGAUUGGAGUCUGCAACUCGACUCCAUGAAAUCGGAAUCGCUAGUAAUCGUAGAUCAGAAUGCUACGGUGAAUACGUUCCCGGGCCUUGUACACACCGCCCGUCACACCAUGGGAGUGGGUUGCACCAGAAGUAGAUAGCUUAACCGCGAGGGGGGCGUUUACCACGGUGUGAUUCAUGACUGGGGUGAAGUCGUAACAAGGUAACCA
rnacentral:rRNA from 1 species